GGGGGACAGUAUAUGUGAUGUCAGUUUUGCUGGAAGAAAACUCCACGGUUUCACGUUUUUGUUUUUGUUGAGAAUGUGUCAAUAUUUUAAUUGGAAAUGUCACAGGAAAACAAUUUGCAAGGAGUACAUUUAAAAUCAACAAAAAACAGUUCUUUCAACAUUAUUUUUAAGACCAAUGUCAAAACCAGAGUUUGAAAGGCAUUUAAAUUUAUAUCUAGAAAGCUGACAUUUUCGGAUUCAUUUUUUGGUAAAGGGCAUUAUGCAAGAUGCUGAAAUAUUUUCAUUAAAAUUUAUAUGACAGAUCUUUUCCGUUGCCCUUCCUUCUGUUUAAGUAUAUCUUUCCACGGGCCUUAUGGACAAUAAUAUAAUUUGAUUUUGGAAACCGGCAUUAAGGCAUAAAAAAAUGACCAAAUUCGCACCUGUCGCACUCUUGGGGGUACAAACAAUAAAUAACUAAGUUGUGUUAACCCAUUUUGCAGAAAUUCUUCUAAAAAUUCAAAGGCUUUUUAAAAUGCCAUACAGUUGAUUCCAUUCCAUAAAAUUACUAAAUUAUGACUAACUACAAUCCAUCAUUUUAUUAAAUAAAAUAGAGUUUCAUUUACUGCAUUAACUACUACAUACUUGUUUGUAAUUGUUUCAAGUACUUCAAAAUUUCUUAUAAACUUCAUUCCACUUUUAGGUAUUUCCACUUCUAACUUCCACUUUUGUGUUCAUAUUUACAUAAUAUAUCUUAUUAUUGUACAAUAUAAUAUACAGCCACCAAAUUGCACUUAUCUCAUUCUAACUACUUAUAUUUGAUUGAAUAUGGUACUGUAUCAAGAAUUAUUAAAAUAUGGUUGUAGUACCAAAUCGUGAAUACUGUUAGUAAACAAUAAGAAAACCUAUUAUUUGCCUAUCCAAAAUUGCAUGUACUACGUGAAGUGUUUCCUUUUUGUCUUUAUACAGUAGAGUCUCCAUAACUCGAACCUCUAUUACUCGAACGUCUCCUUAACUCGAACGAAUUAUCAUUUUCAUAUUUUAUUGUUUACGUGUGUUGUGGGCCUUAUAUUGUUUGAAUGCAUGAUUCGAAUGUUUUGUUUGUGUUUCGAACGACAACGCUUUAUAACUCAUUUAAAGCUACACAUAAUGAAUGGCUGCAAAGGAGAGGAGGGAAGAAAGCACUUUGUAUAGAAAAAAGAUAAAAUAAAAAUAAACUUUAUGGCUGAUCACUAUUGUCACAUUAUCAUGUGGUAAAAAGUAGACUCUCUUCACACUCGAGACGUGGCAGCAGAAAUUGUAACUAAAAUUCUGAGGAAGUAUAUAAAUCUAAAAGUGACAUAAGUCAACUGGCUCAAUUUAACCAGUAAACAGUUCCAUACAAAAUUUAGACCACUAAAGUUUUAUGCAUUGGUCAUGUUGUACUUGUAUGUGAUUUGUUUGAACAGUAUAUCACAAAACAUGUGUUGAGAUUGUAUUUUUUCUGGUUUUAAAAAAUUGAAAAAAAUCCAUAAUAGAAUGCAGUGGAUCCUUCGGCUGCUGUGGAUCCUUCUACAAAGUAGUACUUUAUUCGUUUUGGUAAGGUGCAAUGUCAUAACAGUGUCUGUGUAAGUAUCAUGUUAAGCAACAACCUGCAAUUAUAGUUGAUAUUUUAAAUGCUAAAUACUUUUAGGUAUCUAAUACAGGCAUGUUUUUAUGACAUUUUUCAUUUGUUGAUUUCGAAUUUUGUCUAAUAUCUAUUUUUAUUUCAACAAGAUAAUUAUUUAAGGGAACUUCGCGUUUGGUAAACAUUCACAUAACUAUUUAAAAGAAUUUGCAUAUCUUUUUUUUUCAUGUAUACAUUAACAUUUAUUUCCCUUUUUUCUUUGUCCUGCUUCUUCCUUUGUGUAGGCUGGACAGUCAAUUUUGCUGACAAAACUGAUAGUGAGAGAAUUAGUGAACAAGUAUCCUUGCAACAAGUGAAGUUUAAAAACUUCAAUUCACGUCGACUUGUCCACAUAAAGAGUGAUGUCAAUUAAAGCUCUGUUAGAAGUUAUUGGUGGAAAAUGUGUCAAUCGUUAACUCAAAACUUAACCCAUUUCAACCGAAACUAAACAGAAAGGAUCCAGCUAUCGAGCUUUACCACUUGGCUAGGAUGAAGAUCUUAGCCUGGACACGAAUAUCCAAUCUUCUAAUCUAACUAAAGGUGAAAGAAGAACAUUAGAACACUGCGCCAAAUGGUACUUCUAUUGUUUCAAGGAGGCUGAUAAAGGUUCAACGGUAGUCUAUUUACAAGAAGCCGAGCUACAACUUGGUGACGAAAAUGUAUAUAAAAAGGUUGUGUUGUUGGAAAAGUUACAGGAAGAUAUACUUUAGAUUAGUUUCUGGAUAAGAAUUUCAGGCUGCCCCGUAACUUUCAAUUGGGAAUUGUAAAGAUGUGUAUUUAAAAAACGCAGCUUUUACAACUUUUAAUAGAAAUUCUAAGUUGAAAGUAUUUAAAAUUGUUGUACAGUGGAAUCCCACUGAAGUGAACAUCAUCGGUGCAAGAAAAGUUGUUGAAACGCGUAGAUACUGCACAUAAUAGAAAUUACAGCAAUUUCGCAAGCGUAAUAUUAGAGAUACGGGGUUAUUUUUUUAACCCACACCAAAAAGUCAAGUUUAGUAAAGAGACGGGAAUAUUAAAGAUGCGGGAAUGAUAGAGCAUAAAUACGAUAUAUAUAACCUUUCUUCAGCAAUUAAUAUGUCGUUAUUCGUUUGCUGACUAGUUUUGUCUUGUUUCGGGUUAAAAUUUUUGAAAAAAAGUUUUCGCAUUAAAUAACGGUCGAAUCGAUCGCUAGUCUAUAUUUGUUACACCAAAUUUGGAAAGUUGUACCACCUAUUUUAAUUAACACACCCCUCAUUAAAGAAUUGUAACUUCCGCCUAUACUUUUCAGAACAAUUCAAGCGUUGUGUUUCACGAAUGUCUUUGAUUCGACUCCCUCCCCCCAAAUAUUACCAAUUCCCUUUCACCCUCUUUCAUCCAUCUGAAUAAAAAUCCACCUACAUAAUUUAUAAACACCAACUCCAACUAUCGAUUUGAAGGUAAUUAACAACCCCUUCUUAGUAAGCCCCCUCUUUACAAUAUGGUUAUGAAAAGUAACUUUAAAAAGAAAGACUCUGGCACUUAUAGACUAGACGUUCGUAAUGUUCUGAAAUUGUAGUUUACUUUAUUCGGAUAUUGACUUGAGCUAUGGCGGUAAUUUAUUUGUGUAUAUAUGUCUAGAAAUACGUUUUUUUUUUUGCUACGAGUAACGUUUCAGAUAGAAUUAGUAUAAAAUAAUUUUAUGAGGAAAUUGAAUUUACUGACUUUGUAUUCGACUGAGGCAUGGAGGUAUAGAAGGUAUAACAUCCAUGACUGAUGUAACGAGCAAAAUAAGAAGAUAUAUUUUUCAAGAAACAUGUGAUUUGAAUUGCA